GCCUACGUAGCAUAGUGGUAUUGCGUUCGCUUCGUAAGCGAAAGGUCGUGAGUUCGAUGCUCAUCGUUGGCU
rnacentral:tRNA from 2 species